rnacentral:rRNA from 1 species
GAUGAACGCUAGCGGGAGGCCUAACACAUGCCAGCCGAGCGGUAGAGUUUCUUCGGAAACUUGAGAGCGGCGCACGGGUGCGUAACACGUGUGCAACCUACCUUUAUCUGGGGGAUAGCCUUUCGAAAGGAAGAUUAAUACCCCAUAAUAUAAUGAUUGGCAUCAAUUAUUAUUGAAAACUCCGGUGGAUAGAGAUGGGCACGCGCAAGAUUAGAUAGUUGGUGAGGUAACGGCUCACCAAGUCAAUGAUCUUUAGGGGUCCUGAGAGGGAGAUCCCCCACACUGGGACUGAGACACGGACCAGACUCCUACGGGAGGCAGCAGUGAGGAAUAUUGGACAAUGGGUGAGAGCCUGAUCCAGCCAUCCCGCGUGAAGGAUGACGGUCCUAUGGAUUGUAAACUUCUUUUGUACAGGGAUAAACCUACCCUCGUGAGGGUAGCUGAAGGUACUGUACGAAUAAGCACCGGCUAACUCCGUG